UCGAACGCUGGCGGCGUGCUUAACACAUGCAAGUCGAACGGAAAGGCCCUUCGGGGUACUCGAGUGGCGAACGGGUGAGUAACACGUGGGUGAUCUGCCCUGCACUUUGGGAUAAGCCUGGGAAACUGGGUCUAAUACCGAAUACACCCUUCUGGCUGCAUGGUCUGGUUGGGGAAAGCUUUUGCGGUGUGGGAUGGGCCCGCGGCCUAUCAGCUUGUUGGUGAGGUUACGGCUCACCAAGGCGACGACGGGUAGCCGGCCUGAGAGGGUGACCGGCCACACUGGGACUGAGAUACGGCCCAGACUCCUACGGGAGGCAGCAGUGGGGAAUAUUGCACAAUGGGCGCAAGCCUGAUGCAGCGACGCCGCGUGAGGGAUGACGGCCUUCGGGUUGUAAACCUCUUUCGCCAGGGACGAAGCGCAAGUGACGGUACCUGGAGAAGAAGGACCGGCCAACUACGUGCCAGCAGCCGCGGUAAUACGUAGGGUCCGAGCGUUGUCCGGAAUUACUGGGCGUAAAGAGCUCGUAGGUGGUUUGUCGCGUUGUUCGUGAAAACUCACAGCUCAACUGUGGGCGUGCGGGCGAUACGGGCAGACUGGAGUACUGCAGGGGAGACUGGAAUUCCUGGUGUAGCGGUGGAAUGCGCAGAUAUCAGGAGGAACACCGGUGGCGAAGGCGGGUCUCUGGGCAGUAACUGACGCUGAGGAGCGAAAGCGUGGGGAGCGAACAGGAUUAGAUACCCUGGUAGUCCACGCCGUAAACGGUGGGUACUAGGUGUGGGUUUCCUUCCUUGGGAUCCGUGCCGUAGCUAACGCAUUAAGUACCCCGCCUGGGGAGUACGGCCGCAAGGCA
rnacentral:rRNA from 1 species